GACGAACGCUGGCGGCGUGCCUAAUACAUGCAAGUUGAGCGCUGAAGGUUGGUACUUGUACCAACUGGAUGAGCAGCGCACGGGUGAGUAACGCGUGGGGAAUCUGCCUUUGAGCGGGGGACAACAUUUGGAAACGAAUGCUAAUACCGCAUAAAAACUUUAAACACAAGUUUUAAGUUUGAAAGAUGCAAUUGCAUCACUCAAAGAUGAUCCCGCGUUGUAUUAGCUAGUUGGUGAGGUAAAGGCUCACCAAGGCGAUGAUACAUAGCCGACCUGAGAGGGUGAUCGGCCACAUUGGGACUGGGACACGGCCCAAACUCCUACGGGAGGCAGCAGUAGGGAAUCGUCGGCAAUGGACGAAAGUCUGACCGAGCAACGCCGCGUGAGUGAAGAAGGUUUUCGGAUCGUAAAACUCUGUUGGUAGAGAAGAACGUUGGUGAGAGUGGAAAGCUCAUCAAGUGACGGUAACUACCCAGAAAGGGACGGCUAACUACGUG
rnacentral:rRNA from 1 species